rnacentral:rRNA from 1 species
GGUCCUACGGGAGGCAGCAGUGAGGAAUAUUGGUCAAUGGCCGAGAGGCUGAACCAGCCAAGUCGCGUGAGGGAAGACGGCCCUACGGGUUGUAAACCUCUUUUGUCGGGGAGCAAGGCCCGCCACGUGUGGCGGGAAGGAGAGUACCCGAAGAAAAAGCAUCGGCUAACUCCGUGCCAGCAGCCGCGGGAAUACGGAGGAUGCGAGCGUUAUCCGGAUUUCUUGGGUUUAAAGG